UUUCGUUGUAUGAAAUGAGAAGUCUAUAUGUUGUAUGGUUAGUGGUUGAGGUCAGGAGUGGAAAGUGCGUCAUGUUUUCGACUGCAGUCGCCCUUCGACUAAUCAAAAAAAGCAAAGUUUUAGAGGGAAUUGUAAUUAAAUUAUUAAUUAUAUGAUUUUCGAAAAGGUUAAGUAGAGAGUAGUGGGAUAGUGACGAGGAAGACAAGCUACGUCGGUAAGGAUCAGGAGCAGGAUAAGGAUCAGGAUCAGGAGCGGGAUCAGAAGCAAGACCAGGAAGGAAGGAAGUCCAGGACUCUACAGCUUCAGGUUCAGCUGGCCGUGGCAGUCUUCGUCUGUGGAAAGUGGAUAGAGUACUGUGUACAGUGUACAGUGGAUAGUAGUGGAUAAUACAACACAUAUCCACUUGGAUGGGAUAAUGGAUUCGGAGGGGAAAACUGCUGGCAACUUCUUUUCAUUUGGCUGAGCACCUCCGACUUGGGACUUGGGAGUCCAACAGUCCAGAGUCGUCCGGGACAAGCCCAAUGUCCCCGUUGAUUUAUGGCCAAAAGGGUGGGCAGUCUAAUCCAUUGGCAUCCAUCCACCUGCAACCUGUAGGGGUACUAGUUUGCAACUUGCAACUUGCAACCUGCAACCUGCGGCAGAUGGCCGGGCCAAAACACUUUUAACCACAAGCGGGCUUUAAUUAUUAAUUUAAAUCGCACCGUUUAUAUGAUAAAGAUACUGGGACGUGCCGCUGAGCAUUAGUGCAUGAUCAUUGCGGCCCAGCAAGUUGCAAGUGGCAAGUGGCAAGUGCCCUGUUAAGACAGGGGCGGAUUAUAGGAGACAAGCCUGGUUAGCGUGACAAAAGUUGUUGCUCGAAUGCCUACCCCUUGGCAGCCACUCCCUCUGUUUGCCGCCCCCUCCCCCAAUCGGCGACGCCCCUGGACCAGACAAUAUGAAGCCAUCCGUCGAGGAGGAAGGAGGAAGAGGAGACUCUGGAAGAACGACGUCUGCAGGCGAACUCCGCAAGCGUAAAAAUAUGAAAAGUGCCGCAAGUGCAACAAGUGCAAGUGCAGGCGAACUGGACUCAGACACACUCAAUUCAUAAUUAAUCAGGCUCUACUUGCCACUCUCUGUGGCGUCUGUGGCAAGCUUAACACUUCCCUGCCAUGCACUGUUAAUAAAAAAUGUGAGCCCACAACCUUCAACCCUCUUCCAACUGCCUGACUCGGUGCUAAGGUUGAGCGAGCAUUCGUGAUCUUAACCCGACGGGGAAUAACAUCAGGAAGACCCGGAACUCGACGACUCCAAGACCUCUUCAAACAGAAACAGACGGACCAAAAAAUGGUAAGUAAUGCUAACAGAAACCCCUCCUAACCAGCUCCAGUUUUCAUUAUCCAUGUUCGAUUUCACUGGGAUUUGGCUCGUGUGGUUGUCUUUCGCCUGGAUGGCCUAUUGAUUUAUGGCCUACUGGGGCGCCCCCAUCUAAUCAGUAACAUUUGCAUGCAGAUCGCAAAUUUUGACCGAAAUGUUUAAUGAGAAAACGAACAAAGUCAAAUAGGCAGGCCAAUAGGCAUAGCCAAAUAUUUUUCCGGCCCAAGAAACCCAAACCAAAUCGAAAUGAGCCCAACACAAAAAUAAAAAAUGUUUAAGAAACAUGUUAAGGUAUAGGCCUCCAGAGUAUAGACGAAGAUCGAAAUGCUCUAGGUUUCUAAUUUUAAAAUUUGUUUGAAGAAAUCCAGGCUUCUUGAUUUAGAAAUUGUUUUAAAUAGACUCUAACUCUAAGUGUGACCAAGCUUAAGCUCUUAAUGUGCCCAAUUGAUUUUAAAAAAGGAAAAAAAAGUGACCAUGAUUUUAUAGAAAAAUAUUUGAAAUAUUUUAAAACCUAUAAUAUUCAUUAAUUUUUGUACAAAAAAAUGCCAGACAACCUAAAGUAACCAAAUCUAUAGAUUUAAGUAUGACCAAAUGUUAUUGAAAUACUUUAAGUGUGACCAUAAGUUAUAUUAAUUAUAAGAGGACACCCAAAACCCCAGAAACUGCAAGUGCUUCGCCGAUUUUGUAGAGUAUCCAACGAAAAGAAGCUGAAACCCAUAUCGAAACCCAUCCAUAUCAGCGACAAGAGCCCCCAAAAAAAAGUGCGUGAGCGAUGCGCAAAUAUUUGGCUCUUGGCUGGGCAACUCGAAUCGAACUUUUCGGGGAUCCAGAGAGCUGCUUGAAAUGCGCGCCAGAAACCUUACGCACUUCAUAAAUUAUUUAACAGCCGCCCUGGCCAAUUCCAAGCGGGCCAGAGGAGGUCUCCUCUGGAGGGCGAGGCAAAAGGGGAUCAAUUUUAAUUGCCGGCUACAUGACAAUGACAACACACACCACACACAACACGCACUCACGCACUGUGGAAGGCCAAACCAAAAACGAAAAAAAAAAAAAUACAAAAAAAAAUUCAUUUAAUUCCGUAGCCGAAACAGAAUGUGCGAAUUUUUGACAACUGAAAACCAAAAAAGAAAAAAAUAUAUAAAGAGUUGAAAUUGAAACUGAAAUCGAAGUCGAGGCAUGUACAACAUGGCUUUGUACAUGAUCGUCGCCCCGCUUGAUUUAUGGCCAAAUGUUUUUGGGACAAGUUAACAGAUCUUAUAGGCCAACACCAGCGAUCUACAACCUACCCCUAUCUGAUCCCAUAUCCGAUAUGCCAUUUGGGUUGUGAUUCAUCUAUAUAUUCAACAUACAGAUGGCCUCAUUACCUGGUGCCACAUUUGUCACGGCUUGUAAGAGAGGAAAUAAAAUAAACAGAAAACAGAGCUGGAAAUUGGAGAUGGAAUUAUAAUACUUUUGAUGAUUCACUUUUUUGUGAUUUAAGCAGCGAGCGAGUGAGAUGGCCUAAGCAACAGCUAUAUGUCCUCACAACAGGAGCCGACAGAGGAGAGACAUCCUGCCGACCAACACGGCACAUCUUCAACAGAGGCUGGAGCUUCCACCAAAGCAGCUGGAAAGAGUUUAAGACGGUAUUUUUUCAGGUGAGUACAAAUUUUAUUGAAAAAAUACUGUUACUGUACAUAAAUACAAAGUGGUUAGGUUAAGUUACUAUAGGGUUAAGGGUCACUCGUUACGGGCGUCGGUAUAAGGGUUAUGGAAUGUGGGCUACGGAAUUCGGGCUAAAGAUUACGGGCUUCAUGACGGCUUCAUUACGGCUCAAGGUUACAGGCCCAAGAUACGGGCUACUGGAACCGGCCAAGGGCUACUGGAACCGGCCUACAGGCUGCAGGAACCAGG